rnacentral:rRNA from 1 species
UACGUAGGGUGCGAGCGUUGUCCGGAAUUAUUGGGCGUAAAGAGCUUGUAGGCGGUUUGUCGCGUCUGCUGUGAAAAUCCGGGGCUCAACCCCGGACUUGCAGUGGGUACGGGCAGACUGGAGUGUGGUAGGGGAGAUCGGAAUUCCUGGUGUAGCGGUGAAAUGCGCAGAUAUCAGGAGGAACACCGGUGGCGAAGGCGGAUCUCUGGGCCGAUACUGACGCUGAGGAGCGAAAGCGUGGGGAGCGAACAGG